GUGUAUCCUCAGAGAUUAAUUCCUGUAACAUAUGAACAAACACUUGGAAGCUUGUACUGGUGAAACAAAAGACGCAAGACCCAACAUUUUGGAUUACUAUAAGGGAGUUGAUUGGUCAUCUUCUACCAUGUUGAGAAGUUUAAUCAUGAAAAAAACAGAGCUAAGAGCACAACACAUAAUUAUCCUAGUGCGGGAUUAUUCAUCAUACAGGGUUUGACUUACUAAAAUGAUGGUUAACUCAACUGAAAUGAUAAAUAGUAUUUUCAUUUUUCCUUUUCGGUAUGAGCUUUUUAUUUAACUUACGAUGAAAAGAGUGCAUUAUUGAAACUAGCAAUUUGACAGCUAAGAAAUCUUGCAGCAGUUACUAACCUCCUCAUCUACUGACUGAUCAG